rnacentral:misc_RNA from 1 species
GAUGAAGAUCGCAGCGAAAUGCGAUAAGUAAUGUGAAUUGCAGAAUUCAGUGAAUCAUCGAAUCUUUGAACGCACAUUGCGCCCGUUAGCAUUCUAGCGGGCAUGCCUGUCCGAGCGUCAUUUCAACCCUCAGGGUCCCCGUUCCGGCGGGGAACCUGGUGUUGGGGAUCGGCCCGCCCCGUGCGGCGCCGUCCCCCAAAUUCAGUGGCGGUCUCGCUGCAGCCUCCCCUGCGUAGUAGUUACAACCUCGCAUCGGAGCUCAGCGCGGCCACGCCGUAAAACCCCCGACUUUCUGAACGUUGACCUCGGAUCAGGUAGGAAUACCCGCUGAACUUAAGCAUAUCAAUAAGCGGAGGA